rnacentral:piRNA from 1 species
UUUUUAAAAAACAAACAGAACCUCAUAG